rnacentral:rRNA from 1 species
GUCUACAGCCAUACCACCCUGAAUGUGCCCGAUCUCAUCUGAUCUCGGAAGCUAAGCAGGGUAGGGCCUGGUUAGUACUUGGAUGGGAGACCACCUAGGAAGACCAGGUGCUGUAGGCA